rnacentral:rRNA from 1 species
CGUGCAGAGCGCCAACAGGAGCUUGUAACACUUGAUCCGUCUAUGCCUUAUUCGUGUUUGGUAAAUGUGGACUUGCAGCGUGUUCGUGAGUCUGCAACAAAAACAGUUCUCCAAGUAGCUAAAGUUAUUCUUCGCUUUUCAUCCUAUGUCGACGGUAAACUGAUGGCACAAUCAUCUGGCUUUCUAAUUGAUUGGGAUGAGGGGACUAAAGAGGGCACUGUUCUGACAUCUGCUCUCAUAAUCUGCUCAAAAUAUACAGUCCUAAGCCAGUGGUUAGGUACAGAUGAGUAUGCACCUAAUGCUGAGGUUGUUGCUUAUUUGUUGGAUCAAGAUGACACUACUGUACCUGCACACUUGCUUCAAUAUGACAAGCACGUGAAUAUUGCUUUGUUUAAGGUUGAUAUAGACUUGUGUGCUAAGAUUCCUACCUUAAAUAGUGAAGUGUUCUAUGGUCAAGACAUAUUUGUGCUUGGUAGAGAUGAAGAUCUAAAUCUGACUAUGCAUCAUGGAUGUGUUCAAUUUAUGGGCCCAACUACAUAUGAACGCCAUCACUAUUUGUUCACUGGUUGUGUGAUUAAGCAGGCUAGCAUUGGAGGACCGGUUAUUGACUUUAAUGGACAAGUUUUGGGGAUGGCUAAUUUUCCAGGGACAGCAUUUAUUCCUUGCUCUAUUAUAUUGAAGUGCUUGGAUAUGUGGAAGAAAUUUCAGCGUAUCCCCCGGUUGCAUAUUGGGAUGAAGCUUUCAGCCAUUAAAUAUCUAGAUCCAAUUCGUGCGGAGAAGAUCUUCCGUAAGUGUAAUGUUGAUUCGGGUUUAAUAGUUAUUGAGGUGUCACAUGGGUCAGUUGCUGAGGAACUAGGAGUUAGACCUGGUGAUAUCAUUUACUCCAUGAACGGAGAGUGCAUUGCUACGACAGUGGAGUUGGAGCACUUAAUUAUGAGAAUAUGCGAGAAUUAUCUUGAACAAGGAGGAGCCAUUGGUUCCUGCAUGGACAUACCAGUUGGUAUAUUGCACAUGCGGAAAGGUCAUAAAGGUCCAAGCCGCACUUUAAGCCUGAGAUUAAAUGUAUCGGAUGACGUAGAGGUGUUCACAAGUGGUAUGCGUCCUUGCAACUAG